rnacentral:rRNA from 1 species
AGAGUUUGAUCCUGGCUCAGGACGAACGCUGGCGGCGCGCCUAACACAUGCAAGUCGAACGAGCGAGAGAGAGCUUGCUUUCUCGAGCGAGUGGCGAACGGGUGAGUAACGCGUGAGGAACCUGCCUCAAAGAGGGGGACAACAGUUGGAAACGACUGCUAAUACCGCAUAAGCCCACAGCUCGGCAUCGAGCAGAGGGAAAAGGAGCAAUCCGCUUUGAGAUGGCCUCGCGUCCGAUUAGCUGGUUGGUGAGGUAACGGCCCACCAAGGCAACGAUCGGUAGCCGGACUGAGAGGUUGAACGGCCACAUUGGGACUGAGACACGGCCCAGACUCCUACGGGAGGCAGCAGUGGGGAAUAUUGCACAAUGGGGGAAACCCUGAUGCAGCGACGCCGCGUGGAGGAAGAAGGUCUUCGGAUUGUAAACUCCUGUUGUUGAGGAAGAUAAUGACGGUACUCAACAAGGAAGUGACGGCUAACUACGUGCCGGCAGCCGCGGUAAAACGUAGGUCACAAGCGUUGUCCGGAAUUACUGGGUGUAAAGGGAGCGCAGGCGGGAAGACAAGUUGGAAGUGAAAUCUAUGGGCUCAACCCAUAAACUGCUUUCAGAACUCUUUUCUUGAGUAGUGCAGAGGUAGGCGGAAUCCCCGGUGUAGCGGUGGAAUGCGUAGAUAUCGGGAGAACACCAGUGGCGAAGGCGGCCUACUGGGCACCAACUGACGGUGAGGCUCGAAAGUGUGGGUACCAACAGGAUUAGAUACCCUGGUAGUCCACACCGUAAACGAUGAUUACUAGGUGUUGGAGGAUUGACCCCUUCAGUGCCGCAGUUAACACAAUAAGUAAUCCACCUGGGGAGUACGACCGCAAGGUUGAAACUCAAAGGAAUUGACGGGGGCCCGCACAAGCAGUGGAGUAUGUGGUUUAGUUCGACGCAACGCGAAGAACCUUACCAAGUCUUGACAUCCUGCGACGCACAUAGAAAUAUGUGUUUCCUUCGGGACGCAGAGACAGGUGGUGCAUGGUUGUCGUCAGCUCGUGUCGUGAGAUGUUGGGUUAAGUCCCGCAACGAGCGCAACCCUUACUGUCAGUUACUACGCAAGAGGACUCUGGCAGGACUGCCGUUGACAAAACGGAGGAAGGUGGGGAUGACGUCAAAUCAUCAUGCCCUUUAUGACUUGGGCUACACACGUACUACAAUGGCGUUAAACAAAGAGAAGCGAGACCGCGAGGUGGAGCAAAACUCAGAAACAACGUCCCAGUUCGGACUGCAGGCUGCAACUCGCCUGCACGAAGUCGGAAUUGCUAGUAAUCGUGGAUCAGCAUGCCACGGUGAAUACGUUCCCGGGCCCAUUGUACACACGCGCCCGUNNC